UGGCUGCUGCAUUUCGGCCCUCGAAUCGAGUUCUCCUGCAGGCGCUGCAGAUUUUGGUGUAUCCUGGGGUGGGAGGCUCCGGCUCUGUCAGCUGCCGCUGCCCUCUCGGAGACAACACCCAGCAAGAGAAGUACCAUUCUUUUCUCCAUUUACAGAGGAGGAACAAGCUAAAAGAUACCUACUUACAGAUAAUGUGGUGAAAUUAAAAGAAUUUCAACAAAAGAAAGUGGCUGUUGCAUGUAAUCUUUCUGGCACUAAAGGUACCAUGCAGAGAACAAAAAUUUCACUUUGGGGGAGUAUAAAUUUGGACCGCUUUUUGUGAGGUUGUGUUACGAGUUGGAUCUCGAGGAAUCUGCAGUGGAGCUCAUGAAAGACCAGCAUUUACGAGGUUUCUUCUCAGACUCCACAUCAUUCAAUAUUUUGAUGGAUAUGUUAUUUAUCAAAGGCAAAUAUAAAAGUGCUUUGCAAGUAUUGAUAGAGAUGAAAAACCAAGAUGUGAAGUUCACCAAAGAUACCUAUGUUCUUGCUUUUGCAAUUUGCUACAAACUGAAUAGCCCUGAGUCUUUCAAAAUCUGUACUACAUUAAGAGAAGAAGCUCUACUCAAAGGAGAAAUUCUCUCCAGGAGAGCAUCCUGUUUCGCUGUGGCAUUAGCUCUGAAUCAGAAUGAGAUGGCAAAAGCUGUGUCCAUUUUUUCUCAAAUCAUGAAUCCAGAAAGCAUAGCCUGCAUUAAUUUAAAUAUUAUA
rnacentral:lncRNA from 1 species